AUGCUGUAGUUUACUGCAAACAUGAAGCAGAGAAACGUUACGUUCUUGUACUGUUCCUGCAAUUCUGAUUUCUAAAGAUGAACUCGAAAACCUUCCUUAUCCUGCUGUGUCUCUUCUCUCUGAUGAUUGCAGACUACUCUGUCCAAGGACGAGGUGCUUGUAGGUCACUUCUUGGGUGCAAAGGAUGCAGAGCAGGAUGCCAGAUGAUGGGAUACCGGAUAGGAUCCUGCAGACGCUCACGGACGUGCCCAAAAAGAAGGAGAUAUAAGUGCAGAUGUAUGAAGAGACUUGGCUGAUGUAAACAGAAAACCUGUAUCAAUUCAUAAAAUAAAUUGAAAGUAAUGCAAAUAUCAAAA